rnacentral:rRNA from 1 species
UACAGAGGUGGCAAACGUUGUCCGGAUUUAUUGGGUGUAAAGGGCAUGUAGGCGGUCUUGUAAGUCAAAGGUGAAAUGGCCCGGCUCAACCAGGUCAUUGCCUUUGAAACUGCAGGGCUUGAGUACGGAAGAGGAAAGCGGAAUUCCCAGUGUAGCGGUGAAAUGCGUAGAUAUUGGGAGGAACACCGGUGGCGAAGGCGGCUUUCUGGUCCGAAACUGACGCUGAGAUGCGAAAGCCAGGGGAGCAAACGGG